rnacentral:rRNA from 1 species
CCUACGGGGGGCACCAGUAGGGAAUCUUCCGCAAUGGACGAAAGUCUGACGGAGCAACGCCGCGUGAGUGAUGAAGGCUUUCGGGUCGUAAAACUCUGUUGUUAGGGAAGAACAAGUGCUAGUUGAACAAGCUGGCACCUUGACGGUACCUAACCAGAAAGCCACGGCUAACUACGUGCCAGCAGCCGCGGUAAUACGUAGGUGGCAAGCGUUAUCCGGAAUUAUUGGGCGUAAAGCGCGCGCAGGUGGUUUCUUAAGUCUGAUGUGAAAGCCCACGGCUCAACCGUGGAGGGUCAUUGGAAACUGGGAGACUUGAGUGCAGAAGAGGAAAGUGGAAUUCCAUGUGUGGCGGUGAAAUGCGUAGAGAUAUGGAGGAACACCAGUGGCGAAGGCGACUUUCUGAUCUGUAACUGACACUGAGGCGCGAAAGCGUGGGGAGCAAACAGGAUUAGAUACCCCCGUAGUC